GAUGAACGCCGGCGGCGUGCCUAAUACAUGCAAGUCGAGCGAACGGACGAGAAGCUUGCUUCUCUGAUGUUAGCGGCGGACGGGUGAGUAACACGUGGAUAACCUACCUAUAAGACUGGGAUAACUUCGGGAAACCGUAGCUAAUACCGGAUAAUAUUUUGAACCGCAUGGUUCAAAAGUGAAAGACGGUCUUGCUGUCACUUAUAGAUGGAUCCGCGCUGCAUUAGCUAGUUGGUAAGGUAACGGCUUACCAAGGCAACGAUGCAUAGCCGACCUGAGAGGGUGAUCGGCCACACUGGAACUGAGACACGGUCCAGACUCCUACGGGAGGCAGCAGUAGGGAAUCUUCCGCAAUGGGCGAAAGCCUGACGGAGCAACGCCGCGUGAGUGAUGAAGGUCUUCGGAUCGUAAAACUCUGUUAUUAGGGAAGAACAUAUGUGUAAGUAACUGUGCACAUCUUGACGGUACCUAAUCAGAAAGCCACGGCUAACUACGUG
rnacentral:rRNA from 1 species